GUCACUUUUGACCGGGAAGAUAAAAAGUGUGACUCCGAAACGAAGAGCACCUGAGGGUUAAAUUAUUAUUUCUACAGUAAGUGAAUUGGUUGGCACUCUGGAGACAUGAUGAAAAGGGGUGAGAGAUAUAAGUGUGCAAUGUAUCAUGGUUCUUGGUUCAUGGUUCUUGUUAGAGUCAUGAUUUCCACUAUAUAAAGAAAGAAGCCUGUGCCACAUUAUUUCACAGCGGACCCUUUAGACUUACAGCUCUUGUAUUUCUUGAGUAAUAUUAAGUGAAAAUUCAGUUUUAUCAUUUAAAGUAAUUUUUUUUUAAAGAAAGGCAUAGCUUAUCUUGUGAAACCUUUGUAAAGUUUAUUUAGAUAUAUGUUUGUGAAUUUUUUUUUUUUUUUAAUUAUGUUUCAUAGUUUUUUAGGAGUAAUGAUUACUUGUUUUUAAUGAAAGUGUAGCCUACUUGCCUACAAAAUUACUCUGUGGCAUCCCUAAUUAUUACUUCUGAUUUACUGCACAUAAACACUCAAAACCACAUAUCCCAACUAGUUCUCCAAAAUUGCCUUCCAACAGCAUGUAAUAUCAAAUCUCCUUUAAAUUAAUACUCACAAAAAAUAUAUAUACAUUGGACCUAUAUUUACGCUCUUCAAGAUCUGAUUUCUUCCUUGCCUUCACUCUUGGUAACAAAAAUGUAAUUAUCGAAAGGGAAGUCCGUUUCUCCGUGUUUGCGCUCUCUCUUUUGUGCUGCCCUCAGUUUCACCAUGGUGAUGACUUAGUCCUGUUACGUACACUUCUUCAGUGUUAUGUCUUGUCUACUGGGGUGGUGGGGCGGGGAAAACGAGUGUCAUGAAGGUUAGCUUUCAACAUAUUUAACACACAUUCGAUGUAAUGUGCGCUACGAAUUUUAAACGACCCCUUGCAUGUUAAUUUUACAGAAUCCAUUUCCAUUUUACAGUUUAUACAGUUCCAUUUUACACAGACUGGACAUUUCUUUUCCUAUGGGAAUCCAUCACAAUUCAUUUCAAUGAGAAAGCUAUCAAAUGCUCAUGUGACAGCAGGAACUUGAAGUGGAAGAUAUGUUGACUUUCAGAUUCGACUUUAAAGAACAGGCUAAACUGUUGUAGUAUGUUGAAGACAGAGUGAUCGAAUUCCCUCUUUUCCUCCUCGGUCAAAAUCUUUCUACUUUAUGGUUAUUGUGAUUAGCUUAAUUGUUAUUCCUCUGACAAAACAGAGAAAAAAUGUUAGAAUGAUUUAAAAAAAAAGUAUAUAUUUUGUAUCUUGUGAUGACUAAUAAAACUUGUUUGUGAAGUGAUGCAGAGCAUCACUGUGUA